CUGCACAUUGCCUCCUCAGCUGGCAUAGCCCCACUGACCCUCCAACAUCCUGGACCCUCAGUUUUGUCCAGCUCCAGGUCUGCACUUUGGCUGACCACGGGCAAGUUGUUUGCAGCCAUGCUCCUCUAUGCCACAUCCUGUGUCUCCACUUCUCAAGGCCUCUGCUGUCCUACCAGUGUAACACCCUAUGAAUAGGCUGAGUACAGCCCUGCAAGAGGCAUAGCCACAUCCAUGGACCUCUGCGCAGGAUGACUCAGCCAUGGUGCAACAUGAGGGAAAUUGUUCUGCUGAAGAGCAAGGUUCAGGGAGAAGAGUGGAAGUAUAAGGUGCUGGAAGGUCUGUGUGGGUGACAUACCAAUGUAUCUGUGCAUGCAGAUAGCCAGCCCUCACUUACUUACACUAAGACGACAGAAAUAUGAAAAAUGGUAGGAAUGAGAAACACCAAAAAGGACAGUACUAGUUUAAAGAACCUGCUGACCAACAAUGAAUGCUGUGAAGACAACCACAUCAAAAGUAUCAAGUAAUGGUACAGCAAACCCAGGACCACUAGGGAACAAGUCAACAUGGUGGACUGCUUAUUUGGAAGAAGAUGAAGAUGUUAAAAAGAACAUGGCAAGAAGGGAAAAAGGGGAUAUGAAGAGAAGAAAAUCAUGUGGGUGAAGCUAAUCAUGGAAGAUGCUGAGUGGCCCUGAGCCAGAUUGGCACAGCAAAACAGGAAAAUAUGUCUGUUUUGCUCUGACCAUAUGUGUGUCUGACUUGCUUCUGUGCUCAGAAGAGAAACUGAGGUGCUUUCCUAAAACGGGGGGCACAUAGGGAACACUUCCUAAAGCUGCAAAGUUGAGCUCAGUAGGGAUAAAUGGUGACCUGAAAGUAAACUUCCUGUUUUGGUUUCCCCAACUGACAGUACCACAUGCAGAAACUGUAUUUGCAUCACACCAAAGUUUUCCAUGGGAAGGAAGAUCCCUUGAAAAAAGAAGAUCUACUGUAGGGUUAGGGUUAGGUUAGAUCUACUAACCCUAGGGUUAAGUCUAGGGUUAGGGAAGAUCUACUGUAAAUUAAACUAGAUGAAAAUCCACAAGCCUUGCUGGGAAUGCAAUGCUGUUAAGUUGCUUACUCACUCACCUAAUACCUUUGUCUUCCUUCAAGGCUGAGUCCUGAUACAGUUACUUUCAGAGGGUUCGUGAGCGGAAGACAAAUCAAGGUACAUUUAUCCAUAAUCGCAGACAGUCUCAGCAUGUGUUAGUGAUGUUGCCAUGCUGAUUUGAAGGGUUUAUUUCAACAACUUGGGAGGACAGUCAGGGCAGUUGCAAUUAUUUUAUCUUCAAGUUCUUACGUCCUGAAAAUGUCAUUACUCACACCAAGUGCUCUUGGUUCUAAGGCCCAGGACAAACAGAACUGUAAGACAGAAAACUCCAUGUGUGUUUGAUUUAUACAAGCCUGAAAUCUUUCUACAUGAUUUCUUUGGUCUCCCUGUGAGUGAACAGGCUGCUAAGCAUAUCUUUGGCACUAAGUUUCAGGUGAAGAUGAGACAGUUUUCAGUCAGAAGCUUAGGAAAGUAUCUGCCAUUGUGAUGGGCUAUGGUCUGGUUUCGUCUUUUUAAUGAUGCUACAGUACUGCUUACAGAUCUUCCUACAGUGAGGGUGCUGCUGUGUCUUAAUGUGGCAAUGGAAACAGUGUAUUUUUCUUCCCCUGUGUCUACUCCCUCCAAGCCCCUGGAUUGGGGAUGCUGCAGAAUGAGAGAAGGGUUUUCCAACAGGAGAUGACAGUGCUGAAACCCAGACCCCUGAGUACUCUGUUCUCAGUACACAGAGCCUGCUUUGAUG